CCCGCUGAACUUAAGCAUAUCAAUAAGCGGAGGAAAAGAAACUAACAAGGAUUCCCCUAGUAACUGCGAGUGAAGCGGGAAAAGCUCAAAUUUAAAAUCUGGUGGCCUUUGGCCAUCCGAGUUGUAAUUUAGAGAAGCGUCUUCCGCGCUGGACCGUGCACAAGUCUCCUGGAAUGGAGCGUCGUAGAGGGUGAGAAUCCCGUCUUUGGCACGGACGCCCAGUGCUUCUGUGAUGCGCUCUCGAAGAGUCGAGUUGUUUGGGAAUGCAGCUCAAAAUGGGUGGUGAACUCCAUCUAAAGCUAAAUAUUGGCGAGAGACCGAUAGCGAACAAGUACCGUGAGGGAAAGAUGAAAAGCACUUUGGAAAGAGAGUGAAACAGUACGUGAAAUUGUUGAAAGGGAAACGCUUGAAGUCAGUCGCGUCGUCCGAGACUCAGCCUCGCCUCGGCUUGGUGUACUUCUCGGACGACGGGUCAGCAUCAAUUUUGCCCCUUGGAUAAUGGCGAGGGAAAUGUGACACCUUUGCGGGUGUGUUAUAGUCUCUAGUCGCAUGCAAGGGUCGGGAUUGAGAAACUCAGCACGCGCCUUCGGGCGUCGGGGUUCGCCCACGAUACGUGCUUAGGAUGUUGGCGUAAUGGCUUUAAACGACCCGUCUUGAAACACGG
rnacentral:rRNA from 1 species